rnacentral:rRNA from 1 species
UACGUAGGGGGCUAGCGUUGUCCGGAAUCAUUGGGCGUAAAGAGCGCGUAGGCGGCCAGAUAAGUCCGGUGUGAAAGUCACAGGCUCAACCUGUGAAUGCCGCUGGAAACUGUCUGGCUAGAGUCCGGAAGGGGCGAGUGGAAUUCCUGGUGUAGCGGUGAAAUGCGCAGAUAUCAGGAGGAACACCAAUGGCGAAGGCAGCGCGCUGGAACGGUACUGACGCUGUGGCGCGAAAGCCAGGGGAGCAAACGGG